CACAAUCUGGCUCACCUCCUGGCUUACUGUGGAAGCUGCCCAAAGAAGAUUUCACUACUGAAAUUAAAUAUAUUUCUAAUUAUUGGAUUUUAUUAUUUUUUUUCUUAUAGCCAGGUUCAAGGUCUUGGAAAUCCUUCUAUGUAAAACUCGACGGACUAAAGCUCGAUUUCUACAAUGAUGAACAAGAAGCAUCUAAGAAUAUAUCCACGCUCCCAUCCCUCAGCAUUGUUGGUGCCAAAUGUGAGAGACUGACAAACUACAUCAGGAAAGAGAACACCUUUAUGUUACAACUGAGAGAUGGGGCAGAGUAUUUCUUUUCAGCACCUUCACCGAUGCUGAUGGAGAACUGGUUGCAGUCACUACAGAAUAAUAUAGGACAUAGAAACAGACCAGAUUCCACAGUGAUGGUGAGACCUUUCACUCCGAGCACUGAGACCUCCCAGACAAGUCUGUGGGACAGAGACUCUGCUGAAAGACUAACCAGCAAAAGUACACUCCUGAGGUAGGGGGUUCUGUGCUGCAAUGCUGAACAGACACCACCACUGUUUGUGCUUAGUUAGCAGCCACCUAUAGAGGUAGAUUGUCCCAAGAUCCAAAAAUCCUGCUUCUCUCCUGUUUAUCUGGUAGAAUACAAUAUUCUUGAGUAGGAUGAUGCCUCAUUUCACUUUGUCAUUUAUGAUGUGCUACAGCCAAUUUUCAAAACUGAGUUUCAAUGAAGUCAGCUAUAUCCUGUUUGUGGUUAACAAUUUAAAACUCGGAAUUCUUUCAUCACUUAUUUUAGUCACUAACGUUAUUGAAAUGAAGUGUGUGACCUGAAAAUUGGAUUACCUUUAUGCUCAGUAGAGACAAACGUGUU
rnacentral:lncRNA from 1 species